rnacentral:rRNA from 1 species
CAGCUAGUUGGUAGGGUAAUGGCCUACCAAGGCUAUGAUCAGUAUCCGGCCUGAGAGGGCGCACGGACACACUGGAACUGAAACACGGUCCAGACUCCUACGGGAGGCAGCAGUGGGGAAUUUUGCACAAUGGGGGAAACCCUGAUGCAGCAACGCCGCGUGGAGGAUGAAGUCCCUUGGGAUGUAAACUCCUUUCGACCGGGACGAUAAUGACGGUACCGGUAGAAGAAGCCCCGGCUAACUCUGUGCCAGCAGCCGCGGUAAUACAGAGGGGGCAAGCGUUGUUCGGAAUUAUUGGGCGUAAAGGGUGCGUAGGCGGUGCGGUAAGUCUUCUGUGAAAUCUCCGGGCUCAACUCGGAGUCUGCAGGAGAAACUGCCGUGCUUGAGUAUGGGAGAGGUGAGUGGAAUUCCUGGUGUAGCGGUGAAAUGCGUAGAUAUCAGGAGGAACACCUGUGGCGAAAGCGGCUCACUGGACCAUAACUGACGCUGAUGCACGAAAGCUAGGGGAGCAAACAGGAUUAGAUACCCUGGUAGU